rnacentral:rRNA from 1 species
GACGAACGCUGGCGGCGUGCCUAAUACAUGCCAGUUGAGCGCUGAAGGUUGGUACUUGUCCCGACUGGAUGAGCAGCGAACGGGUGAGUAACGCGUGGGGAAUCUGCCUUUGAGCGGGGGACAACAUUUGGAAACGAAUGCUAAUACCGCAUAAAAACUUUAAACACAAGUUUUAAGUUUGAAAGAUGCAAUUGCAUCACUCAAAGAUGAUCCCGCGUUGUAUUAGCUAGUUGGUGAGGUAAAGGCUCACCAAGGCGAUGAUACAUAGCCGACCUGAGAGGGGGAUCGGCCACAUUGGGACUGAGACACGGCCCAAACUCCUACGGGAGGCAGCAGUAGGGAAUCUUCGGCGAUGGACGAAAGUCUGACCGAGCAACGCCGCGUGAGUGAAGAAGGUUUUCGGAUCGUAAAACUCUGUUGGUAGAGAAGAACGUUGGUGAGAGUGGAAAGCUCAUCAAGUGACGGUAACUACCCAGAAAGGGACGGCUAACUACGUG